rnacentral:tRNA from 1 species
GUCAGCGUGCCAGAGUGGUUAAUGGGUAUGACUCGAAUGAUUCCGCAAGGAUAUCUCUAGAUAUCAUAUGGUCUAGGCCGCGUAGGUUCAAAUCCUGCCGCUGACG